rnacentral:rRNA from 1 species
GGAUAACCUACCCUUAGGACCGGGAUAACCUUGGGAAACUGAGGAUAAUACUGGAUAGGCAAUUUUUCCUGUAAUGGUUUUUUGUUUAAAUGUUUUUUCGCCUAAGGAUGGGUCUGCGGCCGAUUAGGUAGUUGGUUAGGUAACGGCUUACCAAGCCGUUGAUCGGUACGGGUUGUGAGAGCAAGAGCCCGGAGAUGGAACCUGAGACAAGGUUCCAGGCCCUACGGGGUGCAGCAGGCGCGAAACCUCCGCAAUGUGAGAAAUCGCGACGGGGGGAUCCCAAGUGCCAUUCUUAACGGGAUGGCUUUUCAUUAGUGUAAAAAGCUUUUGGAAUAAGAGCUGGGCAAGACCGGUGCCAGCCGCCGCGGUAACACCGGCAGCUCUAGUGGUAGCAAUUUUUAUUGGGCCUAAAGCGUCCGUAGCCGGUUUAAUAAGUCUCUGGUGAAAUCCUGUAGCUUAACUGUGGGAAUUGCUGGAGAUACUAUUAGACUUGAGACCGGGAGAGGUUAGAGGUACUCCCAGGGUAGAGGUGAAAUUCUGUAAUCCUGGGAGGACCGCCUGUUGCGAAGGCGUCUAACUGGAACGGUUCUGACGGUGAGGGACGAAAGUUAGGGGCGCGAACCGGAUUAGAUACCCGGGUAGUCCUAACUGUAAACGAUGCGGACUUGGUGUUGGGGUGGCUUUGAGCUGCUCCAGUGCCGAAGGGAAGCUGUUAAGUCCGCCGCCUGGGAAGUACGGUCGCAAGACUGAAACUUAA